AAGGCGCGAAACCUUCGCAAUGCGCGCAAGCGUGACGAGGGAACUCUAAGUGUCUCUCAAAAAGAGAGACUUUUAUAGUAUGUAAAAAGUACUAUGAAUAAGGACAGGUCAAGACUAGUGCCAGCCUCCGCGGUAAAACUAGCUGUUCAAGUGGUAGUCACGAUUAUUGGGCUUAAAGCGUCCGUAGCCGGUUUAGAAAGUUUUCUGUGUAAUCCUUAGGCUUAACUUAAAGGACUUGCAGGAAAUACUUCUAAACUAGGGGAUGGGAUGGGUUGAGGGAAUUCCUGGGGUAGCGGCGAAAUGCUAUAAUCCUAGGAAGACCACCGAUGGCGAAGGCACUCAACUGGAACAUGCUCGACGGUGAGGGACGAGAGCUAGGGGAGCAAACCGGAUUAGAUACCCGGGUAGUCCUAGCUGUAAACGAUGCAGACUGAGUGUUUCUUGAACUUUGGGUUCAAGAAGUGCUGAAGGGAAACCGUUAAGUCUGCCGUCUGGGGAGUACGGUAGCAAGACUGAAACUUAAAGGAAUUGGCGGGGGAGGAC
rnacentral:rRNA from 1 species